rnacentral:lncRNA from 1 species
CUUUACUUUAAUCUAAAAUUAUUUCUCUGAAGUCGGCAAAAAAAAAAAAAAAAAAAAGUAGACCUUAAUGUAUUCAUUUUUCUGAGAAAAUCUAAGAGCAGACACCUUUCUCGGAUUUCCUAGUUACAAGAACUAUGUUAAGGUACAAGCUCGUGAGAUAUCAUAAGGAGACAGCCUCGCUGACUUGGAAAUAGUCUGGACAGAGAUGAGAGACUCAUGCAUGUGUGCUCAGUGAUGGGCACUGUCUGCCACUUUGCAGGUUGACUCUGAAUAUGGGAAGCUGAG